CUGACAUCGAGCGGUCACAAAAGCUCACCUUGAGCCUUUGGCUCAGGUGAGCUAAAAGUCGCCAAAAUUUACAAAUAAAAUACCUUUUUAUAAGACAUAUAAUUUAUAUUUUUUCUUCAAAACAAUGAAACGUUUAGAAAGUUAUAAACAUACUUUUGUAAUGAUUAGCCAGCAAUACACGCAAAAAUCAGAAAGUCAGAUACAAUCUGAAGUUUUUGUGAUGUUUAUCAGUUAAUUGUAUUGUUAAAUAGGUCGAGUAGAAAUGUCAAGUAUCGUUCAAAUAGCUCUAGUUAUUUAUCCGGCUUUGGGGAUAGCGGUGUAAUCAACCACAAGAUAAGUACUAGUAUUGGCUAACUAAAGAGUAAUCACUCGCAAGAGACAAGGAAAUAUUGAAUAAUCGAAUUGUAACACACCGCCCCCCCCCCCCCCCCCCCGCCCCACCUCCCCCCCCCCCCCCCCCACCUCCCCGCGAUUAAAUCUCCCGUCCAACAUGUAGAUAUUGGCUUACCAAUGCAAGGUGUAAUCCCAUCAUGGAAAUUGUAAAUACUGACUUAAUAAAUUGCAAUCAACCCCCAUGAAACAAGUAACUAUUGCGUUAUUGAAAUGUAAGCAGCACUACCCCAAGAAACAGUCGGAAGAUAUUAGCUAUUAGCUUAUUGAAGGGUAAUCACCACCAAGACACAGGCAGACGAUAUUAACUUUUUGAAGUGUAAUCACCGCCAAGAAACAGGCAGAAGAUAUCAGCUUAUUGAAGGGUACCCCCCCCCCCCCCCCCCCCAACCAAGAAACAGAUGUAUAUAUUGGCGUAUCUAUAUAAGUGUGUUCAACCAAAGAAAAUACAGAGAAACUGUAAUCAAUCCCCAAGAAACAAGUAAAUACACACUUUUUUGUGUAAUAACUCUUAAGAUAGACCUAUUUACUGCUUUAUCAUAGUGUAUUCGUCCCAACGAAACACGUAAAUAAGAUCUUAGUGAAAUACGAAACACAACGUCACACGUACCUAAUCUAAGUGUAAACACUUAAAAGAAAUUUUACCAAACAUACUAACAGGCACGUAUACUACCAUAUCAACGUGAGAUAGUAAUUACACGUGACUUAUUAAAAUCACUUAUAUAUUGUCAUUUUUCUAACUUGUAAACAUUAUUAUCAAAGCACAGUGUUGUAUUGGAGAAAUGUCAAACAUUUGCAUAAUUUCAUAUUAAAUCGACAUAGAGACAAGGCAAUCUAUAAUUUUUCUAUGAAUAUUCAUGAAAAUUACGAAGACGGAUAGACAUUAUACAGUUUAGAAACCCAUAAGUGUAGUUCUUGGAUUAUUGUAUAACUUGCUAUUUAGUAUCCGGGAUUAUUCCAUUGUAUAAGAGAACCUCGUUUUGAACUGACGCAAUUUCACUAUUUUCGUAUUUUGGAGUUAUACUGAAACGGAAAGAGAAGAUGAGACUGGCUGUUCUGGCAAUCUUGUUGGCUGUUCUAUUGAUCAAUCUUGAUCACGCGGACGCUUAUCGGCGUCGCAUAUCGUUGUGCAGGAAAAACAAUGGCGUAUGUGUUGACAAUAACACACGCGGCCAACGAGGUAGAAUCUUUGCGUGUUCAGAAAUCAAAUCUGGCCAUUCUUGCCAACCAGUUGGACACGGAUGUCGAUGCAAGCCAGUUUAUGAUGAUGGCAAUAUAUUUGCAGGCGAGGGGGACUCGGACCUAGUAGACAAUUGAUUUACUACAGUGAUUAAAUAUUUUUAGACAUACAGAGCAGGAUCUUCCUCUAACUACAUUUAAUAGGUUACCAUGGAAAUGAACAGUCAGUGGUGAACAGGGACAUAAGGAAGUGGAAGUUCACAAUGACCUAUUGUGCUUACAUGGUGGUAAUACAGCUUGAAGCAUCCAGCGAAUGAAACAUCUCGCCUGAUUAAAGAUAUUAAGACAAAUGUAAAAUUUGAAUAAUGUAUGAAAUAUUGUUUUAUUCUUAUUCUUUUUUAUUAUUAAAAUUGUUUAUUGGAGAAAAUUAAA
rnacentral:lncRNA from 1 species